rnacentral:rRNA from 1 species
AUUGAACGCUGGCGGCAGGCCUAACACGUGCAAGUCGAACGGUAGCACAAAGGAGCUUGCUCCUUGGGUGACGAGUGGCGGACGGGUGAGUAAUGUCUGGGAAACUGCCUGAUGGAGGGGGAUAACUACUGGAAACGGUAGCUAAUACCGCAUAACGUCGCAAGACCAAAGAGGGGGACCUUCGGGCCUCUUGCCAUCAGAUGUGCCCAGAUGGGAUUAGCUAGUAGGUGGGGUAAUGGCUCACCUAGGCGACGAUCCCUAGCUGGUCUGAGAGGAUGACCAGCCACACUGGAACUGAGACCAGGUCCAGAGUCCUGCGGGAGGCAGCAGUGGGGAAUAUUGCACAAUGGGCGCAAGCCUGAUGCAGCCAUGCCGCGUGUAUGAAGAAGGCCUUCGGGUUGUAAAGUACUUUCAGCGGGGAGGAAGGUGAUACGGUUAAUAACCGUGUCAAUUGACGUUACCCGCAGAAGAAGCACCGGCUAACUCCGUGCCAGCAGCCGCGGUAA